rnacentral:lncRNA from 1 species
AGGAGCUGGGUGUGUCCAGACGCAGGAGGGAAUGUGCUUCCAGCUGGAAGGCGAAGGACGACAAGUGAAGGGAAGUGGGGGUGGGUGCAGAGACUAGAGUUCCAGAUUAAGGUGAGGCAGUCAGACAGGUGUCCGGCAAUGAUUUACUUUGCCUUUCUAGACUCUUUGUCCACAGCUAUAAGACAGCCAUCCAAGGUCUAGAUAUUCACCGGUCACCUGUGACAUGCAGGCUAAGAGAGAGAGCACACAAGCAAGGGGGAGAAGCAGGCUCUCCACUGAGCUGUAAUGGACAAAGUCGAGAGAAGGAAGAGAAGAAUGGAAGGAUCUGGACAGUGGAGAUCGGGAAAAGGUUAACAUAUGAUCGUUCAUAACAACUUGGCUUAUUGCAAGAAGGGGGUAGUAUUCAUAGGUGAAACAUUAGAAGUGUUAAAAAUGCAGGUGCAUUGACUGCCAGAAUCUCAUCACAGGAGCUAAUGUUCCCAAACUCCUAACCUCAAAACCCAGACAAAAUAUUCAGUGCACUGCACUAGAAACUUCUCUCCUGAGACUGUUAUUACCCUUUGCAUUCUGGAGGACAAAUGCGACGGGCAUAAAUCUGUCCU